rnacentral:rRNA from 1 species
AGAGUUUGAUCCUGGCUCAGAUUGAACGCUGGCGGCAGGCCUAACACAUGCAAGUCGAACGGUAACAGGGAGCAGCUUGCUGCUCUGCUGACGAGUGGCGGACGGGUGAGUAAUGUCUGGGGAUCUGCCCGAUGGAGGGGGAUAACCACUGGAAACGGUGGCUAAUACCGCAUACGUCGCAAGACCAAAGUGGGGGACCUUCGGGCCUCACACCAUCGGAUGAACCCAGAUGGGAUUAGCUAGUAGGUGGGGUAACGGCUCACCUAGGCGACGAUCCCUAGCUGGUCUGAGAGGAUGACCAGCCACACUGGAACUGAGACACGAUCCAGACUCCUACGGGAGGCAGCAGUGGGGAAUAUUGCACAAUGGGCGCAAGCCUGAUGCAGCCAUGCCGCGUGUAUGAAGAAGGCCUUCGGGUUGUAAAGUACUUUCAGCGGGGAGGAAGGGGUGAGGCUUAAUACGCUUCGUCAUUGACGUUACCCGCAGAAGAAGCACCGGCUACUCCGUGCCAGCAGCCGCGGUAAUACGGAGGGUGCAAGCGUUAAUCGGAAUUACUGGGCGUAAAGCGCACGCAGGCGGUCUGUCAAGUCGGAUGUGAAAUCCCCGGGCUCAACCCGGGAACUGCAUUCGAAACUGGCAGGCUAGAGUCUCGUAGAGGGGGGUAGAAUUCCAGGUGUAGCGGUGAAAUGCGUAGAGAUCUGGAGGAAUACCGGUGGCGAAGGCGGCCCCCUGGACGAAGACUGACGCUCAGGUGCGAAAGCGUGGGGAGCAAACAGGAUUAGAUACCCUAGUAGUCC